UCCUGGUUAACCCAGGCAGUCUCGUUAGAGUUCCCGCCAUUACGCGUUGGCAACUAACGAUAAGGGUUGCGCUCGUUGCUGGACUUAACCAAACACCUCACGGCACGAGCUGACGACAGCCAUGCAGCACCUAUAUAGAGACCCUUUCGGGAUGUAACAUCACUGUUACAGUCCUCUACAUUUCGAGCCCAGGUAAGGUUCUUCGCGUUGCAUCGAAUUAAACCACAUGCUCCACUGCUUGUGCGGGCCCCCGUCAAUUCUUUUGAGUUUCACCCUUGCGAGCGUACUCCCCAGGCGGCAUACUUAAUGCGUUAGCUCCGGUACAGAAAGGGUUGAGCCCCCCUACACCUAGUAUGCAUCGUUUAAGGCAAGGACUAC
rnacentral:misc_RNA from 1 species